GAUCCUGGCUCAGGAUGAACGCUAGCUACAGGCUUAACACAUGCAAGUCGAACGAGCGAGAGAAAGCUUGCUUUCUCGAGCGAGUGGCGAACGGGUGAGUAACGCGUGAGGAACCUGCCUCAAAGAGGGGGACAACAGUUGGAAACGACUGCUAAUACCGCAUAAGCCCACGGCUCGGCAUCGAGCAGAGGGAAAAGGAGCAAUCCGCUUUGAGAUGGCCUCGCGUCCUAUUAG
rnacentral:rRNA from 1 species